GACGAACGCUGGCGGCGUGAACACAUGCAAGUCGAACGGAAUCCAAGGAGUGCUUGCACUCCUGAAGAUUUAGUGGCGAACGGGUGAGUAACACGUGAGAAACCUGCCCCAGACUCUGGGAUAACCUCGGGAAACCGAAGCUAAUACCGGAUAUUCUCCUUUGGUCGCAUGGCCAGUUGAGGAAAGUUUUUCGGUCUGGGAGGGUCUCGCGGCCUAUCAGCUAGUUGGUGGGGUAACGGCCCACCAAGGCUACGACGGGUAGCUGGUUUGAGAGAACGAUCAGCCACACUGGAACUGAGACACGGUCCAGACUCCUACGGGAGGCAGCAGUGGGGAAUCUUGCGCAAUGGGCGAAAGCCUGACGCAGCAACGCCGCGUGCGGGAUGAAUGCCUUCGGGUUGUAAACCGCUUUCAGCAGGGACGAAAAUGACGGUACCUGCAGAAGAAGCCCCGGCUAACUACGUGCCAGCAGCCGCGGUAAUACGUAGGGGGCAAGCGUUGUCCGGAUUUAUUGGGCGUAAAGAGCUCGUAGGCGGUUCCGUAAGUCGAGUGUGAAAAAUCUGGGCUCAACCCAGUGGAGCACUCGAUACUGCGGUGACUAGAGUACGGUAGAGGAGUGUGGAAUUCCUGGUGUAGCGGUGAAAUGCGCAGAUAUCAGGAGGAACACCAACGGCGAAGGCAGCACUCUGGGCCGGUACUGACGCUGAGGAGCGAAAGCGUGGGGAGCAAACAGGAUUAGAUACCCUGGUAGUCCACGCCGUAAACGUUGGGCACUAGGUGUGGGAAGGAAUCAACCCUUUCCGUGCCGUAGCUAACGCAUUAAGUGCCCCGCCUGGGGAGUACGGCCGCAAGGCUAA
rnacentral:rRNA from 1 species